rnacentral:tRNA from 1 species
AGAAAUAUAUUGUAUAAGAAAAAGCUGCUAACUUUUAUCUUUAAUGGUUAAAUUCCAUUUAUAUUUC